UACGGGGGGGGCAAGCGUUGUUCGGGAUUACUGGGCGUAAAGGGCUCGUAGGCGGCCAACUAAGUCAGACGUGAAAUCCCUCGGCUUAACCGGGGAACUGCAUCUGAUACUGGAUGGCUUGAGUUCGGGAGAGGGAUGCGGAAUUCCAGGUGUAGCGGUGAAAUGCGUAGAUAUCUGGAGGAACACCGGUGGCGAAGGCGGCAUCCUGGACCGACACUGACGCCGAGGAGCGAAAGCCAGGGGAGCAAACGGG
rnacentral:rRNA from 1 species